rnacentral:misc_RNA from 1 species
CUUGGUUGGGUUGCUGCUGGCUCUUAGGAGCAUGUGCACGCCUAAUGCCAUUUUUAACCACCYKUKCAMCCUUUGUAGAUCUGGAGUACCUCUCGAGGAAACUCGGUUUGAGGAUUGCUGUGUUGAAAAGCCAGCUUUCCUUGCAUUUCAGGUCUAUGUUUUUAUAUAUACCCCACAAGAAUGUAACAGAAUGUUGUCAAUGGGCCUCUUGUGCCUUUAAAACAAAUACAACUUUCAACAACGGAUCUCUUGGCUCUCGCAUCGAUGAAGAACGCAGCGAAAUGCGAUAAGUAAUGUGAAUUGCAGAAUUCAGUGAAUCAUCGAAUCUUUGAACGCACCUUGCGCUCCUUGGUAUUCCGAGGAGCAUGCCUGUUUGAGUGUCAUGAAAUUCUCAACCUUUCUGGCUUUUGGCUGGUCAGGCUUGGAUUGUGGGAGCUGCUGGCUUUUCAGGAAGUCGGCUCUUCUUAAAUGCAUUAGUAAAACCUUUGCUAGGCCAUCUUUGGUGUGAUAAUUAUCUAUGCCACUGAUGUCUAGCUUCCUCAUAAGGGGGGUUUAGCUUCUAACUGUCCACUUUGGACUACUUUGACAAU